AAGUAGAGCAGUGGUUAGCUCGUCGGGCUCAUAACCCGAAGGUCGGGAGUUCAAAUCUCCCCUU
rnacentral:tRNA from 1 species